rnacentral:tRNA from 1 species
GGGGCCGUGGCCUAGCAAGGUAUGGCGGCGGGCUCCAGACCCGCAGGUCGUGGGUUCGAAUCCCACCGGCCCCA